AUGGUGCUUCAAAGAGCUGUCAACACAACCAGCCGCAGCAACGGGGACUUACAAAGAGCCGCGAUGAGCCGAAAAAGGAGUCGUUUCUUCUCCGCCGUUGCCGAGCCGCCGGACCUGAAGAAGGUGUUCAUGGACUCCGCGGGCCAGAGCGACGACGACUUCGCCGACCUGGGCGCCGAGCCGGAGCUGCAGGUGUCGGUGUCCGAGAUCGCCGAUCACCUGGGCAGGAGCAUCUCCUGGGCGCUGGACGCCGCCUUGCGCCAGAUCCGGAGGGUGGUGAGCGCCAGGAUCCGCGUUUUAAGGCUGGAGCUGCAGGACAAAACCGCAGAGAUCGAGGUGCUCCGGGCCCGGCUGGAGACGGCGGGUUCGGGGCCGGUGUCGGUCCCCGCUCGGGGGCCGGCCGCGCUGGGCGCCAGACCCCCCCCGGCCGGGCAGCCGGCCAUCAGGCCCGGGGACCUCAGGAAGCUGAAAGCGGGCGCCCCCGAAAUUAAAAAGGAGAAGGUCAACGCCAUCUGCGACUACCUCAUGAAGGACAAGAACGCCCGCAGCAAGAGCGGCGCCUGGUGCGGCGGAGCCGCCCCCUCCGGCACCGACAAGGAGCGGGUUCCGAGCUCCCCGCCCCCGCUGUGGGCCGAGCCCGGCCCGGAGGAGCAGCCCGGAGGGGGAGCUGUGGAGGGCGGCCCCGUCUCGGAGGAGCUGUUCGCCCUCCUGCCUUCACACGGGAAGCUGCUGGACCGGUACCAUGGUCCGGACUCUGCUGGAGAUCUGUCGCCAGGCAACUCACCUAGGUACCUGCAGCCAGGUGUGCAGCUGUUCAAGAGUGACAUGGGACCGGCGCCCAGUGAUCCCGGGGACGAGGGGCCCCCCGGCGACGCCCCCCCAGCCCCCGCCGGCGGCCCCGCGGAGCAGACCUGGGGGCCCCUCGGAUCCGCGGGGGACGGAGUUCCCAUCCGGGCUCCGGAGGGAGUGGAGCGUCUGGAGGGAGGCGGGCCAGGUGAGGGGCCGGCGACAGGGGUCAAGCUCUGUCCCGGGGAAUGGGCCGAGGUCCAUACGGCGCGAGCCGGGAAGAUCGCCCCCAGAACCGGUCCUGGUCGCUCUGAUGUCACUCCAAAGCUGGGGACUGGGUCUCCCGGGCCGGGGGACCUCCGCCAGCAAAACAAGCUGGGGUCUCGGGUCACGGGUUCGAGCCAGCCAUGGGUGGGAUUCCCCACGGUGAGGAAUUCACCCAUGGGCUAUCAGGUGGGAUGGGUUCACGUGGGCUAACAGCGCCCCCUGGUGGCAGGCUGGCGCAGAGGGACGAGCAUCUCGUUCCUCCUCCCCCCACCCAGCUGGUGACUCUGGACUGGGCGGGCGGACCGGAAAUUAAAUUGUGGUUCCGGCUCCGUUCCCGUCCUUCCCAGAGAGAGACCUUGGCGCUGGCUCUUCCCGAACAUCCCCCUCAUCUCUCUCUCCCUCUGUGUCUCCAGGCCCACGGGCCCAAGCCGAGGCCUGCCUCUGCCCCUUCUGCGGAACCUUCUGUCCCAGCGCCGCGUUCCUGGGGGAGCACCUGAAGGCGGCGCACCAGGGGGACGGCG
ensembl:lincRNA